UACGUAGGGUGCGAGCGUUAAUCGGAACUACUGGGCGUAAAGCGUGCGCAGGCGGUCCGCAAAGUCUGAUGUGAAAGCCCCGGGCUCAACCUGGGAACUGCAUUGGAAACUAACGGGCUCGAGUGUGGCAGAGGGGGGUGGAAUUCCACGUGUAGCAGUGAAAUGCGUAGAGAUGUGGAGGAACACCGAUGGCGAAGGCAGCCCCCUGGGCUAACACUGACGCUCAGGCACGAAAGCGUGGGGAGCAAACAGG
rnacentral:rRNA from 1 species